AACACAUGCAAGUCGAACGAGAGAUGAGGAGCUUGCUCUUCAAAUCGAGUGGCGAACGGGUGAGUAACGCGUGAGGAACCUGCCUCAAAGAGGGGGACAACAGUUGGAAACGACUGCUAAUACCGCAUAAGCCCACAGCUCGGCAUCGAGCAGAGGGAAAAGGAGCAAUCCGCUUUGAGAUGGCCUCGCGUCCGAUUAGCUAGUUGGUGAGGUAACGGCCCACCAAGGCGACGAUCGGUAGCCGGACUGAGAGGUUGAACGGCCACAUUGGGACUGAGACACGGCCCAGACUCCUACGGGAGGCAGCAGUGGGGAAUAUUGCACAAUGGGGGAAACCCUGAUGCAGCGACGCCGCGUGGAGGAAGAAGGUCUUCGGAUUGUAAACUCCUGUUGUUGAGGAAGAUAAUGACGGUACUCAACAAGGAAGUGACGGCUAACUACGUGCCAGCAGCCGCGGUAAAACGUAGGUCACAAGCGUUGUCCGGAGUUACUGGGUGUAAAGGGAGCGCAGGCGGGAGAACAAGUUGGAAGUGAAAUCCAUGGGCUCAACCCAUGAACUGCUUUCAAAACUGUUUUUCUUGAGUAGUGCAGAGGUAGGCGGAAUUCCCGGUGUAGCGGUGGAAUGCGUAGAUAUCGGGAGGAACACCAGUGGCGAAGGCGGCCUACUGGGCACCAACUGACGCUGAGGCUCGAAAGUGUGGGUGGCAAACAGGAUUAGAUACCCUGGUAGUCCACACCGUAAACGAUGAUUACUAGGUGUUGGAGGAUUGACCCCUUCAGUGCCGC
rnacentral:rRNA from 1 species